UACGUAGGUGGCGAGCGUUAUCCGGAAUUACUGGGCGUAAAGCGCACGCAGGCGGUCUUUUAAGUUUGACGUGAAAGCUCCCGGCUUAACUGGGAGAGGUCGUUGAAGACUGGAAGACUUGAGGCAAUGAGAGGGGUGUAGAAUUCCCGGUGUAGUGGUGGAAUGCGUAGAUAUCGGGGGGAAUACCAGUGGCGAAAGCGGCACCCUAGCAUUAGCCUGACGCUCAUGUGCGAAAGCGUGGGGAGCGAACGGG
rnacentral:rRNA from 1 species